rnacentral:RNase_P_RNA from 1 species
UGCAACGAAAGUUAUCUGUCGCUUGCAUUGUUUAAAUGCAAGAGGAAAGUCCGUGCAACGCAGAGCAUCAUACUGUCUAACGGACAGGCAGGGAUUUAUUUUAAUCUUUGACAGAAAGUGCAACAGAAAAUAACCGCCUUGAAAACAAUUUGUGUCUUUUUAAGAUAUGAACCGUUUUCAGUGGUAAGGGUGAAAACGCAGGGUAAGAGCCUGCGGCAGCCGUCAGCGAUGGCGGUUUGCGUGUAAACCUUAUGAGUUGAAAGUCCAAAUAUACCGGCAGGCAGAGAUUAGUUCUUAUUGCCAAGUGUCUGCUCGGCACUGCCGGGGGGUAGGACGAUAGAGGCAAGCCGCAAGACUUGCCGUAGAUUAAUGACAGAUGAAAAACAGAACACGGCUUACGAAACGUUGCAUCCU